AGUGAACGCUGGCGGUAGGCCUAACACAUGCAAGUCGAACGGCAGCACAGUAAGAGCUUGCUCUUACGGGUGGCGAGUGGCGGACGGGUGAGGAAUACAUCGGAAUCUACUUUUUCGUGGGGGAUAACGUAGGGAAACUUACGCUAAUACCGCCUACGACCUACGGGUGAAAGCAGGGGAUCUUCGGACCUUGCGCGAUUGAAUGAGCCGAUGUCGGAUUAGCUAGUUGGCGGGGUAAAGGCCCACCAAGGCGACGAUCCGUAGCUGGUCUGAGAGGAUGAUCAGCCACACUGGAACUGAGACACGGUCCAGACUCCUACGGGAGGCAGCAGUGGGGAAUAUUGGACAAUGGGCGCAAGCCUGAUCCAGCCAUACCGCGUGGGUGAAGAAGGCCUUCGGGUUGUAAAGCCCUUUUGUUGGGAAAGAAAAGCAGCAGGUUAAUACCCCGCUGUUCUGACGGUACCCAAAGAAUAAGCACCGGCUAACUUCGUG
rnacentral:rRNA from 1 species